rnacentral:rRNA from 1 species
GUGAACGCUGGCGGUAGGCCUAACACAUGCAAGUCGAACGGCAGCACAGUAAGAGCUUGCUCUUACGGGUGGCGAGUGGCGGACGGGUGAGGAAUACAUAGGAAUCUACUUUUUCGUGGGGGAUAACGUAGGGAAACUUACGCUAAUACCGCAUACGACCUACGGGUGAAAGCAGGGGAUCUUCGGACCUUGCGCGAUUGAAUGAGCCGAUGUCGGAUUAGCUAGUUGGCGGGGUAAAGGCCCACCAAGGCGACGAUCCGUAGCUGGUCUGAGAGGAUGAUCAGCCACACUGGAACUGAGACACGGUCCAGACUCCUACGGGAGGCAGCAGUGGGGAAUAUUGGACAAUGGGCGCAAGCCUGAUCCAGCCAUACCGCGUGGGUGAAGAAGGCCUUCGGGUUGUAAAGCCCUUUUGUUGGGAAAGAAAAGCAGCAGGUUAAUACCCCGCUGUUCUGACGGUACCCAAAGAAUAAGCACCGGCUAACUUCGUG